rnacentral:ribozyme from 1 species
ACCAGGGUAAUGACCUCGGGGAUGGUAAGAACGUAGGAGAUACACAAUGGACAAUCCGCAGCCAAGCCCUAAACCGCCCCGGCGGCACGGGUGCAGUUCAACGACUAGACGGCGGUGGGUCUGGCGGUGGCACCGUACUGGUACGCGCCGCCAGGCCUAAGAUAUAGUCUAAACCCUGGCCGAAAGGCACGG